AAGUUAGUGGCGGACGGGUGAGUAACACGUGGGCAACCUGCCUGUAAGUUGGGGAUAACUCCGGGAAACCGGGGCUAAUACCGAAUAAUAAGUGGUGGCGCAUGCYACGGCUUUGAAAGAUGGUUUCGGCUAUCGCUUACAGAUGGGCCCGCGGUGCAUUAGCUAGUUGGUAGGGUAAUGGCCUACCAAGGCAACGAUGCAUAGCCGACCUGAGAGGGUGAUCGGCCACACUGGGACUGAGACACGGCCCAGACUCCUACGGGAGGCAGCAGUAGGGAAUCUUCCGCAAUGGACGAAAGUCUGACGGAGCAACGCCGCGUGUAUGAAGAAGGUUUUCGGAUCGUAAAGUACUGUUGUUAGAGAAGAACAAGGAUAAGAGUAACUGCUUGUCCCUUGACGGUAUCUAACCAGAAAGCCACGGCUAACUAC
rnacentral:rRNA from 1 species